rfam:Ictidomys tridecemlineatus contig043496, whole genome shotgun sequence.
UGGGUUGUAGCUCAGUGGUAGAGCACUUGUCUAGCACAUGUAAGGCAUUGAGUUUGAUCCUCAGCAAGCCAA